UACGUAGGAUGCAAGCGUUGUCCGGAUUUACUGGGCGUAAAGAGCGCGCAGGCGGUCGUUCAAGUCGAGUGUGAAAGCCCCCGGCUCAACUGGGGAGGGUCACUCGAUACUGAUCGACUCGAAGGCAGGAGAGGGUAGUGGAAUUCCCGGUGUAGUGGUGAAAUGCGUAGAUAUCGGGAGGAACACCAGUGGCGAAGGCGACUACCUGGCCUGUUCUUGACGCUGAGGCGCGAAAGCUAGGGGAGCAAACGGG
rnacentral:rRNA from 1 species